GGAACUGAUUUACAAGGUUUUAUAAGGUAUUUUGACUAGUAUUCUAACAGUAGUAAUUCCACAUUUACAAAGCUCUCCAGGAAAAAUCAUCUUAUUAAUCUAUAUACUUUUGUUUGUUAGGCACUCACUGAUUUAAAAUCUGACAACCAGCGCCUGAAGGAUGAAAAUGGAGCCUUGAUCCGGGUGAUCAGCAAACUCUCUAAAUGACUCAUUGGGCAGUUAUAGAGAAUGGAAUUUCACGAGUGAGAACACUGUGUGCCCCCUUAAUCAAACCGUGAUUGGCCCCUGUACAGCCAUCAAGUCACUGACUGUGGAUCUGCCAAUGUGAAAUGUACACUCCAUGUUAUUUUGUACAUAUAUUUGUUUGUAUAUCGGAGAAAAGAGAAGGAAUCUAUUAAAAGAUUGGUACAGUGCACAUCCCAUAUUUACAUUUGCUAGUUACAUUCUCAACCAAAAAUGUAUUUUUAUUGCAGCCUAAAGCGCAUGUCAGCCAAAUACAGAGGGAAUAAAAACAGAAUAAGGGACAGCGCUAAUAGGGCAUGAAGAGUAUAAAAAGAGUGUAGGCAGCACACCUAUAGGUAGAGGGGUCCCCUCUUAUCCCAUCAAAAUGAAUAAGAUGAACAGAAUAACAAAAAGGAAGGGUGCGCCUUAAGAAAAUAAUAUUAUUGUAAUAAUGGUAUAUGUGACAUAUGUAAUAAAUAAAUAAAUAAAGAAUAGUCCAAAUAACUUAACAUUAAUCCAUGUAGCGUUGUCCGCCAACAAUGGAAAAAGUCCUUUUACAGAGGGAAUGCAUACAUCAUUAAGGCAAUAUUUAUUUAUGUCAGUGUUUCUAGUAUUGCAGGAAUUCCACCCUUUCCUAUUGUAUUGCAAAAAUAGUGAUUUUUGUACUAGUGUGUUCAUCUUGAACAAAUCCCAAGUGUUAUGGUAAUUUAAAGGGACACCAAAACAUCUUUAGCAUAAUGAAGCAGUUUGGGUGUAUAGAUCAUGCCUCUAAAGUUUCACUGCUCAAUUUAUUGCCAUUAACCCCUUAAUGACCGAGGACGGUUCAGGACCGUCAUCGGCAUUUUUUCCAUUGACGACCGGUGACGGUCUUGAACUGUCCUAACAGUCUUAUGUACUUAUCCAAUAGCCAUCGUUCCCCCGGCGGCGAUCGGUGGUGCUCCCAGUGUGGGGAGACUGCCUGCAGCCCAGACAGUCUCCGAUGGCGGAUUAGGACCCCUGUGGCCAUGUGAACGCUCAACAGAGCAGUCACAUGGUCACAAUAGGUGUCCAUGUGUCUGCCUGUAGGGGGACUGUCUGUGCUGACAGGCAGUCUUCCUGCUAGUGUAAAAC